UAAGGAAUAUUGGUCAGUGGACGCAAGUCUGAACCAGCCAUGCCGCGUGAAGGAUGAAGGUCCUCUGGAUUGUAAACUUCUUUUAUCUGGGACGAAAACGGGAUUUUUAUCUCAAUUGACGGUACCAGAGGAAUAAGCACCGGCUAACUCCGUGCCAGCAGCCGCGGUAAUACGGAGGGUGCGAGCGUUAUCCGGAUUUACUGGGUUUAAAGGGUGCGUAGGUGGGCUUAUAAGUCAGUGGUGAAAUCUCCGAGCUUAACUUGGAAACUGCCGUUGAUACUAUAGGUCUUGAAUUAUCUGGAGGUAAGCGGAAUAUGUCAUGUAGCGGUGAAAUGCUUAGAUAUGACAUUGAACACCAAUUGCGAAGGCAGCUUACUACAUAUAAAUUGACGCUGAGGCACGAAAGCGUGGGGAUCAAACA
rnacentral:rRNA from 1 species